CCGACCUUAGCUCAGUUGGUAGAGCGGAGGACUGUAGUUGGAUUUGAAGUCUUGUUGUAAUCCUUAGGUCGCUGGUUCGAAUCCGGCAGGUCGGA
rnacentral:tRNA from 1 species